AAAACGCGAGGCUUCCGCAUAUCCUCUUCCAGCUGAUUUUAGCUGUACAAAACAGUUUUUUAUGCUGCUUGAUGCUGAGCCGCUAAUGAAUCGGAAGUCUGGCACAUUCACAGAAUAGCUUACUUCCGCAUUGCAAGAUGAGGUAGAUAAACACUGCUUAUUAUGCAUCUUAGGAAGAGUUAAUCUAAAUGAUUUACAGACGCGACUGCUGCCAAAAACACUGGACUACCACACAGAACCGCCCAUCAGAGAGAGAAAACCACUCAAAAACAACAAAACACACUAACUGACCAAUUAUCCACUGACAAGAACACUAA